rnacentral:rRNA from 1 species
AUUGCCCCCAGUAACGGCGAGUGAAGCGGCAACAGCUCAAAUUUGAAAUCUGGCCCCCGGCCCGAGUUGUAAUUUGGAGAGGAUGCUUCUGGUGCGGCGCCGUCCGAGUUCCUUGGAACAGGACGCCGUAGAGGGUGAGAGCCCCGUACGGACGGACGCCUAACCGAUACGAAGCUCCUUCGACGAGUCGAGUAGUUUGGGAAUGCUGCUCAAAAUGGGAGGUAAAUUUCUUCUAAAGCUAAAUACCGGCCAGAGACCGAUAGCGCACAAGUAGAGUGAUCGAAAGAUGAAAAGCACUUUGAAAAGAGGGUUAAACAGUACGUGAAAUUGUUGAAAGGGAAGCGCCUGUGACCAGACUUGUGCCCUGCUGACCACCCGGCGUUUUCGCCGGUGCACUCGGCAGGAUACAGGCCAGCAUCGGUUUUUCCAGGGGGACAAAGGUCGCGGGAACGUAGCUCUUUCGGGAGUGUUAUAGCCCGUGGCGGCAUGCCCCUGGGGGGACCGAGGACCGCGCUUCGGCAAGGAUGCUGGCGUAAUGGUCACCAGCGACCCGUCUUGAAACACGGACCAAGGAGUCAAGCAUUGGGGCGAGUGUAUGGGUGCCAAACCCGCACGCGAAAUGAAAGUAAACGCAGGUGAGAGCUUCGGCGCAUCAUCGACCGAUCCUGAUGUUUUCGGAUGGAUUUGAGUAAGAGCCUUACCGCUUGGACCCGAAAGAUGGUGAACUAUGCCUGAAUAGGGUGAAGCCAGAGGAAACUCUGGUGGAGGCUCGCAGCGGUUUCUGACGUGCAAAUCGAUCGUCAAAUUUGGGCAUGGGGGCGAAAGACUAAUCGAACCAUCU